GCUUAGCCCUAAACCUCAGUAGUUAAAACAACAAAACUACUCGCCAGAAUACUACAAGCAACAGCUUGAAACUCAAAGGACUUGGCGGUGCUUCACAUCCCCCUAGAGGAGCCUGUCCCAUAAUCGAUAAACCCCGAUCUACCCCACCCUCUCUUGCUCAGCCUAUAUACCGCCAUCUUCAGCAAACCCUGAUAAAGGUUACAAAGUGAGCGCAAAUGCCCAUCUUCGCAAAAACGUUAGGUCAAGGUGUAGCCCAUGAGAUGGUAAAAGAUGGGCUACAUUUUCUAUCUCAGAAAACCCUACGAUAACUCUCAUGAAACCUAAGAGUCCAAGGAGGAUUUAGCAGUAAAUUAAGAAUAGAGUGCUUAAUUGAACUAGGCCAUAAAGCACGC
rnacentral:rRNA from 1 species